rnacentral:piRNA from 1 species
ACGGAGCAGGCGCCAUGGUGAGG